rnacentral:snRNA from 1 species
AGAUGUGAGGGUGAUCUGGCUGCAACAUCUGUCACCUCAUUGAUCGCCAGGGUUGAUUCCACUGAUCUGGCUGGGUAGGCAGGUGUCCCCUUCCUCCCUCACCAUUCCAUGUGUGUCCCUCCUGAAGCUGCAUGCUUGGUCGAAGAUGACGGCUUUCCCCAAAUAGAGAUGGACUAUUCUUCAGUUGAGGGUAUAUAAGUAGUUGUGCUCCCCUGUUAGAACCUCCAAACACACUAAAAAAUCAGUGGCAUUCCUCUAUGAAAAGACUAAAGUAGCAGAAGAAAUCCAGAAAUCAAUUCUUU